rnacentral:rRNA from 1 species
UACGAAGGGGGCUAGCGUUGCUCGGAAUUACUGGGCGUAAAGGGCGCGUAGGCGGUUCUAUAAGUCAGGGGUGAAAUCCCGAGGCUCAACCUCGGAACUGCCUUUGAUACUGGGGAUCUCGAGUCCGGGAGAGGUGAGUGGAACUGCGAGUGUAGAGGUGAAAUUCGUAGAUAUUCGCAAGAACACCAGUGGCGAAGGCGGCUCACUGGCCCGAUACUGACGCUGAGGUGCGAAAGCGUGGGGAGCAAACAGG